rnacentral:rRNA from 1 species
GACAGAGGUGCCAAGCGUUAGGCGGAAUCACUGGGCUUAAAGCGUGUGUAGGCGGAUCGUUAAGUACCUUGUGAAAUCCCACGGCUCAACCGUGGAACUGCUGGGUAUACUGGCGAUCUUGAGCCACCUAGGGGCGAGCGGAACAAGCGGUGGAGCGGUGAAAUGCGUAGAUAUCGCUUGGAACGCCAAUGGUGAAAACAGCUCGCUGGGGUGUGGCUGACGCUGGAGACACGAAAGACCAGGGGAGCGAACGGG